rnacentral:rRNA from 1 species
GGUCAAGCGAACAAGUGCAUGUGGUGGAUGCCUUGGCGAUCACAGGCGAUGAAGGACGCGGUAGCCUGCGAAAAGCUACGGGGAGCUGGCAAACAAGCUUUGAUCCGUAGAUGUCCGAAUGGGGAAACCCACUCCUUUUGGAGUAUCCAUGGCUGAAUACAUAGGCCAUGCGAAGCGAACGCGGUGAACUGAAACAUCUAAGUAACCGCAGGAAAAGAAAUCAACCGAGAUUCCCAAAGUAGUGGCGAGCGAAAUGGGAUGAGCCUUGCACUCUUUAUUUGUAUUGUUAGCCGAACGCUCUGGAAAGUGCGGCCAUAGC